UAUAGGCUUUAGGUAUAUUGCCUCUGUCCAAGUGAUAUAGGUGGGCACAUGAGAUCAACAUACCAGCAUGUUAGUAUUAGGUUCUGAUAGAAACUUAGUGCAAUUAUGUUGCCAUUCUUGACUAAUAGGACAUGACUGGUGUGCAGACACU
rnacentral:snoRNA from 1 species